rnacentral:rRNA from 1 species
CCUACGGGAGGCAGCAGUGGGGAAUAUUGGGCAAUGGGCGCAAGCCUGACCCAGCAACGCCGCGUGAAGGAAGAAGGCUUUAGGGUUGUAAACUUCUUUUAAGGGGGAAGAGCAGAAGACGGUACCCCUUGAAUAAGCCACGGCUAACUACGUGCCAGCAGCCGCGGUAAUACGUAGGUGGCAAGCGUUGUCCGGAUUUACUGGGUGUAAAGGGCGUGCAGCCGGAGAGACAAGUCAGAUGUGAAAUCCACGGGCUCAACCCGUGAACUGCAUUUGAAACUGUUUCCCUUGAGUGUCGGAGAGGUAAUCGGAAUUCCUUGUGUAGCGGUGAAAUGCGUAGAUAUAAGGAAGAACACCAGUGGCGAAGGCGGAUUACUGGACGAUAACUGACGGUGAGGCGCGAAAGCGUGGGGAGCAAACAGGAUUAGAUACCCCUGUAGUC